rnacentral:rRNA from 1 species
AGAGUUUGAUCCUGGCUCAGGAUAAACGCUGGCGGCGCACAUAAGACAUGCAAGUCGAACGAACUUAACCUUUAGUUUACUAAUGGAGCGGUUAGUGGCGGACUGGUGAGUAACACGUAAGCAACCUGCCUAUCAGAGGGGAACAACAGUUAGAAAUGACUGCUAAUACCGCAUAUGCCUUGAAUAUCACAUGAUAUAAAAGGGAAAGGAGCAAUCCGCUGAUAGAUGGGCUUGCGUCUGAUUAGAUAGUUGGUGGGGUAACGGCCUACCAAGUCGACGAUCAGUAGCCGGACUGAGAGGUUGUACGGCCACAUUGGGACUGAGAUACGGCCCAGACUCCUACGGGAGGCAGCAGUCGGGAAUAUUGCGCAAUGGAGGAAACUCUGACGCAGUGACGCCGCGUGCAGGAAGAAGGUUUUCGGAUUGUAAACUGCUUUAGACAGGGAAGAACAAGGACAGUACCUGUAGAAUAAGCUCCGGCUAACUACGUGCCAGCAGCCGCGGUAAUACGUAGGGAGCGAGCGUUAUCCGGAUUUAUUGGGUGUAAAGGGUGCGUAGACGGGAGAACAAGUUAGUUGUGAAAUCCCUCGGCUUAACUGAGGAACUGCAACUAAAACUAUUUUUCUUGAGUGCUGGAGAGGAAAGUGGAAUUCCUAGUGUAGCGGUGAAAUGCGUAGAUAUUAGGAGGAACACCAGUGGCGAAGGCGACUUUCUGGACAGUAACUGACGUUGAGGCACGAAAGUGUGGGGAGCAAACAGGAUUAGAUACCCUGGUAGUCC